AAAUUAAAAAGAAAAAUUACAUCAUUUUGGAGCUCAUUCUUGGAAAACCCAAAUCACCAAAAUAAUUUAGUCUUGGAGCCCAAAGGUCCCUCUUUACAUAAGUUGAGAUAGCUCUCCUACUUCUUCCUGCUUGAUUAAUUCCUGCUUGUUUACUCUCCCCUCCUCAAGCCACGUAGUUAUCCCCCACCUCCACCUCCUGCUUUGAUUAGACCACCUCCUGCACACUAACUCACAAAUAUAAUCCCAGAAGUGUCCCAACAAUAUAUACAUAUCAUUCUUCGUCCACAAUUUCCUUCACCACUUUCUUCCAUCAAAUACCAAGAAAUCAAAAACUAGAGACAGCAUAUUAAAGAAAGUUCCUUUUUUUUUUAAGAGCAAAUUCAAUUCCAAUUCCUUAACACAACUUCUGGUUAUCUCCGCAAGUUAAGGUUGGAACGAGAAAAUCAAGUUAAGGAAAUUAAACGAACGAGGUUAAGCGGCGAUGACGAAGGGCGGUGUUGCGUAGAUGUGACGAAUGUGUUUCAGUAGUAUAAUGCUCGGAUGAAUCGUGUCUCCAUACAUGGUGUCAUUCUCUCUUGACUCUUCUGCUGCAAUGUAAAAGUUGAAAUUAUGUUCUUUUGUAUCACGCACUCUGAUAUAUUUUGCCAGUUAUUCCAAGAUGAUUCUGUUAUGUUCA